UCAUGUGAUUACGAUGCUGAUUUUGGGUUGUCACAUAUGGAUAGCUUUUCAUCUAGUGAUAAAGAAAAUGCAAAGCCAGGGAGGAAAAGUGUUUUGGAUGAUGCAUUGUUUCAGUUUUUUCGCAAAGAGGCUAUCAAAUCUCUCAAGAGGGACUUUUCCAAGUUCUGCGAAGAGUCUGUCUUAUUCUCUAAG